GAUGAACGCUAGCUACAGGCUUAACACAUGCAAGUCGAGGAGUAGCACAGAAGAAGCUUGCUUCUUUGGGUGACGACCGGCGCACGGGUGAGUAACGCGUAUCCGACCUACCCAUAACUCGGGCACAGCCGCUCGAAAGAGUGAUUGAUUCCCGAUAUGUCCUUGGAGUAGAUUCAAUGAUGAAAGAUUCAUCGGUUAUGGAUGGGGAUGCGUAAGAUUAGGUAGUAGGCGGGGUAACGGCCCACCUAGCCGACGAUCUUUAGGGGUUCUGAGAGGAAGGUCCCCCAACCUGGUACUGAGACACGGACCAGAAUCCUACGGGAUGCAGCAGUGAGGAAUAUUGGUCAAUGGGCGGAAGCCUGAACCAGACAAGUAGCGUGAAGGAUUACAGCCCUACGGGUUUUAAACUUCUUUUAUAUAAGAGUAAUGUGCACUACGUGUAGUGUAUUGCAAGUAUUAUAUGAAUAAGCAUCGGCUAACUCCGUGCCAGCAGCCGCCGUAACAC
rnacentral:rRNA from 1 species